GUUUUACUCCCUCCGUUCCAAAAUAAGUGACUCAAGUUUGAACUAAAUUUAGUACAAAGUUAGUACAAACUUGAGUCACUUAUUUUGGGACGGAGGGAGUACUUU
rfam:Triticum aestivum genome assembly, contig: Triticum_aestivum_CS42_TGACv1_scaffold_033063_1BL